GCCAGCAUGGUAUAGUGGUUUGAGUGUUAGACUUGGACUCUGGGAGUUUAGGGUUCGAAUCUCCACUCAGCCA